GACGAACGCUGGCGGCGUGCUUAACACAUGCAAGUCGAGCGGUAAGGCCCUUUCGGGGGUACACGAGCGGCGAACGGGUGAGUAACACGUGGGUGACCUGCCCUCAGCUCUGGGAUAAGCCUGGGAAACCGGGUCUAAUACCGGAUAUGACUCCAUGACGCAUGUUGUGGGGUGGAAAGCCUUGUGCGGCUGAGGAUGGGCCCGCGGCCUAUCAGCUUGUUGGUGGGGUGAUGGCCUACCAAGGCGACGACGGGUAGCCGGCCUGAGAGGGCGACCGGCCACACUGGGACUGAGACACGGCCCAGACUCCUACGGGAGGCAGCAGUGGGGAAUCUUGCGCAAUGGGCGAAAGACCUGACGCAGCGACGCCGCGUGAGGGAUGACGGCCU
rnacentral:rRNA from 1 species